CCGCUCCCGGCCGCGUGCAGCGCGAACCUCCGCGCAAGCGCCAAGGCUGGGGCAGUUGGCCGACAUGCCACUGCGCAUGUGUACCAACUACAAGGGUUGGUGCUGGGGUUGAGGCUUUCGAUUAACACCGCAGCCGAAGAGGAAGGUAAUGCUGUGCCUCUUUGUCGAGCCAAACCCACCCCCAGCUUUAUUAACCUUCAAGCAAGUUCCCCACCAGCCACUUGCCUGAAAAUCCCGGCAACAAAGCUGUCCUCAGUGGGGUUUUCCAGAGGCUACAUGGAUGUGAUAUCACAACAGAUUGGAUACAGGCCCCUGAUCAACCAAGCCAUUCACCACUACCGUCCAGAACUCCAUGUAUACUCGACCUCAGGCCACUUCUGCCAUACAAAGUAAACGACUGACUAGGUUAAACCAUGAACGCACAUCCUUGGUGAAGAGGGUAAGCCAUUAUCGACCUUUGUUUCCCUGAGGUUCUGAGACUCUUAGAGCUAGAAAAGGCCUGAAAGUUCGUCGUUGUGCAUCAGAAUCACCCAGAGGGCUUGUUCCAUGCAGACUGCUGGCCCCGCUCCUGGAGUUUCUGAUUCGAAUUUUACUGUUCAGGAAUUGAUCACAGACCCCCCACAGGAUCGCAAGAAUUGCACCACUGAAGCAGAGCUGCUGUCAGGCCUUGGGAACUGAGACUACAUCUCAUCCAUCUUGGCAUCCUGAGAACAGAGCAUGAUUCUGCUCUGUUUGAUGGUGAUGGAACGUGGAAGGUAUUCCUCCAGAAUCUAGCCCGUAGCGUAGCACCUGGCACAUAGCAGGAAUGCAAACAAAAUGUAUUACAUGAGUGGAAAACAUUUUAAUUUGAUAUCACUGCCUUCUGACAAACUUUUUUCCCAAGGUAUUGUCAUUUUCAUUUUACAGAUGAAGAAACACAAGUAAUCUGAUUUUGGCAAUCUUUUACAUGGAAGUUGUUUUGGUGAGCCUCUGGGGACAGAAAGCCAUAUUUGAUUUUACCGUUGGCUGUAUGUAAACACAACAAUAUUUUGUAUGGUGCCACUGUGGCUGUGGUUUUUGGGGAAAAACGAGGUCUGGGAUUUUCCACCCCCAGAAAAUGGGUGCUGAGGAGUUCUCUAGUAUAGUUUCUUUUUCUAGUUUCAUACCAGACUGUUAGACAAAAAGGAAUCCCCCUGUUCCACCUUACCUGUGAAAUUAGGCCAGAUCUCACGGUAAGCCUCACUUCCUCUGGGAAGCCUUCGCUGAUCACCCCCAGCAUGGGUUGGAUCCCCAUAGGACCUGUCUCCCCCACUAUCACCUUGGCAAUGCGAUUGCCUGCUGAUUCACUUGCAUCCCCCCCAGAUAGACCUCCCACCCACACCCAGGGAUAUAUCUCGUUCCACUGUAUCUCCAGCCCCUAGCACCGUGUCUGGCACACAGUAGGUGCUCAAUAUAUGUUUGUUGAAUGAAUGAAGGCUCUGCCUUCUCCCAAAUCUCCUCUAUUCAAGAGUUGUUGUGUCACAGGGGCUGCUGGUCUGAUGGCCCUUUCUGAAUAUGCUUGUCCUAGGCCCCAGACUCUGCCGGUCACUGCCUCCAGCCGAUGACAGGAAAACACAUCAAGUCUGUGUCUGCCCCCUCCAUCCUUUCCUGUCCCCAGAGGCGCAUGUGCCCAUAGUAUGUUGGAGUCAGCAACCCAUUUGCCCUCUCUGCUCAGCCAAUCAGAACAAUAAUAACCAUAUCUGUUGACUGCUUAUGAAAAUGCCAAUGCUCUACAUCAAUUAUUUGUAAUCUUCAUAACACUUCCACAAAGGGAAUAUUAUUACUCCUAUAGAUAAGGAAACUGAGACUCAAAGAGAGCUCAACAAUUUGCUGAGGUCACACAGCAAAGAUGUAUUGAAUGAAGGAAGGAAUGA